GGCCCUGUCGUCUAGCCCGGUCCAGGACGUCGCCCUUUCACGGCGAAAACACGGGUUCGAAUCCCGUCGGGGCUA
rnacentral:tRNA from 1 species